rnacentral:tRNA from 1 species
GUGAAGUGCCUCAGCUGGGAGAGCAUCUCCCUUACAAGGAGGGGGUCGGCGGUUCGAUCCCGUCAUCACCCACCA